UUCAGGGGGAGAUGCGUUGAUGAUCUGCUCUGUGCUACGGUAGGUAAACUGUGCUAGCCUUUUCAAGCUCUUUCGGACCUCCUGGCUAGCGGUCUCCUAGCAACCCGGAUGCCCACUAGAUCAGCUGGCCUUUAUUCGUCAGACACAAGACAGUGCACUUUGAUCGGCCAGAGGAGGCCAUGUCCCUCGCUAAUAAUUAAUCCAGCCCCCGCUGCCCUCUGAGCAAGACAUGCCAUGUCUGUCAGCACAGAUCUAAUGCCACAACUCCCAGACAACAGAGACACAGGAAACCAAAGUCUUUACCAUCCAUAGCAGCUGCCUCCACGUCAGGCAACACAGGCUCUUCGAGGCGAGGACAGGCUUUUUUCUCCAUCCAUUCAAACAAACCUGAAGAUGAGAAAAGGGAUAAGGCCUGUGCUGCAGUUCUAUGGAUGUUUUUCCCUCCAAGUCUCAGCGCCAGCCAUGUGACUGAAAACUAUGAAUAGGUUAAAUGUAAUCAGACUUCACCCCUCUGGGAUCUUCGUCAUCGUCUUCAUCAUCGUCCCAGCCGUUGUUGUUGCUGACCGUUGUUGUGCUGAGCUGGGCAGGAGGUUCUUCUGGGGAUGCUGCUUCAGUUGCUUGCUGGUAGGAUGGAGGUGUGCUUAACAAUGAAAGGGCUGGUGGAGCGGGCGGUUCACUGGAGAAAGCACUGGUGCUUCUGGUUGGGGGAGAGGGUGCCAUGGUGGCGAUGGUCAAA